GUGCCUAAUACAUGCAAGUAGAACGCUGAAGACUUUAGCUUGCUAAAGUUGGAAGAGUUGCGAACGGGUGAGUAACGCGUAGGUAACCUGCCUACUAGCGGGGGAUAACUAUUGGAAACGAUAGCUAAUACCGCAUAACAGCAUUUAACACAUGUUAGAUGCUUGAAAGGAGCAAUUGCUUCACUAGUAGAUGGACCUGCGUUGUAUUAGCUAGUUGGUGAGGUAACGGCUCACCAAGGCGACGAUACAUAGCCGACCUGAGAGGGUGAUCGGCCACACUGGGACUGAGACACGGCCCAGACUCCUACGGGAGGCAGCAGUAGGGAAUCUUCGGCAAUGGGGGCAACCCUGACCGAGCAACGCCGCGUGAGUGAAGAAGGUUUUCGGAUCGUAAAGCUCUGUUGUAAGAGAAGAACGUGUGUGAGAGUGGAAAGUUCACACAGUGACGGUAACUUACCAGAAAGGGACGGCUAACUACGUGCCAGCAGCCGCGGUAAUACGUAGGUCCCGAGCGUUGUCCGGAUUUAUUGGGCGUAAAGCGAGCGCAGGCGGUUUAAUAAGUCUGAAGUUAAAGGCAGUGGCUUAACCAUGGUUCGCUUUGGAAACUGUUAGACUUGAGUGCAGAAGGGGAGAGUG
rnacentral:rRNA from 1 species